UACAGAGGGCGCAAGCGUUGUCCGGAAUCACUGGGCGUAAAGGGCGCGUAGGUGGCGGCAUAAGGCCGUGGUGAAAGUCUGGGGCUCAACCCCAGAUCUGCCAUGGCAACUGUGUCGCUAGGGCACCGUAGAGGCAGAUGGAAUUCCGGGUGUAGCGGUGGAAUGCGUAGAGAUCCGGAAGAACACCAGUGGCGAAGGCGGUCUGCUGGGCGGUGGGUCCGCAAGGAUCCAAUAGCCGACACUGAGGCGCG
rnacentral:misc_RNA from 1 species